rnacentral:rRNA from 1 species
GAUGAACGCUGGCGGCGUGCCUAAUACAUGCAAGUCGAGCGAACAGAUGAGGAGCUUGCUCCUCUGACGUUAGCGGCGGACGGGUGAGUAACACGUGGAUAACCUACCUAUAAGAUUGGGAUAACUUCGGGAAACCGGAGCUAAUACCGGAUAAUAUAUUGAACCGCAUGGUUCAAUAGUGAAAGACGGUUUUGCUGUCACUUAUAGAUGGAUCCGCGCCGCAUUAGCUAGUUGGUAAGGUAACGGCUUACCAAGGCAACGAUGCGUAGCCGACCUGAGAGGGUGAUCGGCCACACUGGAACUGAGACACGGUCCAGACUCCUACGGGAGGCAGCAGUAGGGAAUCUUCCGCAAUGGGCGAAAGCUUGACGGAGCAACGCCGCGUGAGUGAUGAAGGUCUUCGGAUCGUAAAACUCUGUUAUUAGGGAAGAACAAAUGUGUAAGUAACUAUGCACGUCUUGACGGUACCUAAUCAGAAAGCCACGGCUAACUACGUG